AAUGGAUAAAUGAAGAGGAAGACACAGGACAAGCUGGAGGGACUACAUAUCUCGGCUGUCCUGGGAACGCCUCGAGAUCCCCCCAGUUGAGCUGGCGAAUGUGGCCGGGGAGAGGGAAGUCUGGGCUUCCCUGCUUAGGCAGCUGCCCCCGCGACCCGACUCUGGAUAAGCUGUA